GUUUGAUCAUGGCUCAGAUUGAACGCUGGCGGCAGGCCUAACACAUGCAAGUCGAACGGUAACAGGAAGCAGCUUGCUGCUUUGCUGACGAGUGGCGGACGGGUGAGUAAUGUCUGGGAAACUGCCUGAUGGAGGGGGAUAACUACUGGAAACGGUGGCUAAUACCGCAUAACGUCGCAAGACCAAAGAGGGGGACCUUCGGGCCUCUUGCCAUCAGAUGUGCCCAGAUGGGAUUAGCUUGUUGGUGAGGUAACGGCUCACCAAGGCGACGAUCCCUAGCUGGUCUGAGAGGAUGACCAGCCACACUGGAACUGAGACACGGUCCAGACUCCUACGGGAGGCAGCAGUGGGGAAUAUUGCACAAUGGGCGCAAGCCUGAUGCAGCCAUGCCGCGUGUAUGAAGAAGGCCUUCGGGUUGUAAAGUACUUUCAGCGGGGAGGAAGGUGUUGUGGUUAAUAACCGCAGCAAUUGACGUUACCCGCAGAAGAAGCACCGGCUAACUCCGUGCCAGCAGCCGCGGUAAUACGGAGGGUGCAAGCGUUAAUCGGAAUUACUGGGCGUAAAGCGCACGCAGGCGGUCUGUCAAGUCGGAUGUGAAAUCCCCGGGCUCAACCUGGGAACUGCAUUCGAAACUGGCAGGCUUGAGUCUUGUAGAGGGGGGUAGAAUUCCAGGUGUAGCGGUGAAAUGCGUAGAGAUCUGGAGGAAUACCGGUGGCGAAGGCGGCCCCCUGGACAAAGACUGACGCUCAGGUGCGAAAGCGUGGGGAGCAAACAGGAUUAGAUACCCUGGUAGUCCACGCCGUAAACGAUGUCUACUUGGAGGUUGUGCCCUUGAGGCGUGGCUUCCGGAGCUAACGCGUUAAGUAGACCGCCUGGGGAGUACGGCCGCAAGGUUAAAACUCAAAUGAAUUGACGGGGGCCCGCACAAGCGGUGGAGCAUGUGGUUUAAUUCGAUGCAACGCGAAGAACCUUACCUGGUCUUGACAUCCACAGAACUUUCCAGAGAUGGAUUGGUGCCUUCGGGAACUGUGAGACAGGUGCUGCAUGGCUGUCGUCAGCUCGUGUUGUGAAAUGUUGGGUUAAGUCCCGCAACGAGCGCAACCCUUAUCCUUUGUUGCCAGCGGUCCGGCCGGGAACUCAAAGGAGACUGCCAGUGAUAAACUGGAGGAAGGUGGGGAUGACGUCAAGUCAUCAUGGCCCUUACGACCAGGGCUACACACGUGCUACAAUGGCGCAUACAAAGAGAAGCGACCUCGCGAGAGCAAGCGGACCUCAUAAAGUGCGUCGUAGUCCGGAUUGGAGUCUGCAACUCGACUCCAUGAAGUCGGAAUCGCUAGUAAUCGUGGAUCAGAAUGCCACGGUGAAUACGUUCCCGGGCCUUGUACACACCGCCCGUCACACCAUGGGAGUGGGUUGCAAAAGAAGUAGGUAGCUUAACCUUCGGGGGGGCGCUUACCACUUUGUGAUUCAUGACUGGGGUGAAGUCGUAACAAGGUAACCGUAGGGGAACCUGCGGUUGGAUCACCUCCUUA
rnacentral:rRNA from 1 species